rnacentral:rRNA from 1 species
GAAUAUUGGACAAUGGGGGCAACCCUGAUGCAGCGACGCCGCGUGAGCGAUGAAGCCCUUCGGGGUGUAAAGCUCUUUCGGCAGGGAAGAUAGUGACGGUACCUGCAGAAGCAGCUGCGGCUAACUACGUGCCAGCAGCCGCGGUAAUACGUAGGCAGCAAGCGUUGUUCGGAGUUACUGGGCGUAAAGGGGGCGUAGGCGGCCCAUUAAGUUUGUCGUGAAAUCUCCCGGCUCAACCGGGAGGGUGCGGCGGAAACUGGUGGGCUCGAGUGCGGGAGAGGAGAGUGGAAUUCCUGGUGUAGCGGUGAAAUGCGUAGAUAUCAGGAGGAACACCGGCGGUGUAGACGGCUCUCUGGACCGUAACUGACGCUGAGGCACGAAAGCGUGGGUAGCAAACAGG